rnacentral:tRNA from 1 species
GGUGAGGUGUCCGAGUGGUUUAAGGAACCGGUCUUGAAAACCGGCGUGCGAGCAAUCGUACCGUGGGUUCGAAUCCCACCCUCACCGCCA